rnacentral:lncRNA from 1 species
UCACAAUGGCCAGCUUUGUUCCUGCAUGGGUUUGAGGAACACAAACUCUGCUAUGUCCACCAGCGCCCUGUGGCCCAGGACCUGCCGUCAUCUUCAACAGGAACCAAGGAAAGCCGAUUCAUUACAAUGCUGGCUAAUACCCACAGGAACACUGAGCUCCACUGUGUGGGAGCUUGAGGGGCCUGUGCUGUCCAUGCAGAGUGUCCACCAUCUCACACUGCUUCUAACACUUUCAAGCCAUCUCCUGAAUCUGGAAUAGUCAUCAUGAGCUGGAGGCUUCCUCAGAAGAACCCUAAAAUCAAGGGGGAUUCUGGUGCCAAGAAAAAUAGCCCAACCCAGCUUCACAGCUGUGAGCCUCCAGUGCACCCCAGGAAGCUGCCAUCACCAUGGGUAGCGCGACCUGGCUUGAUUUUGCCAAAACAAAGGAAAAUUCCUCCAGCAAUUUCUGUGAAUUUGUUUUGCAAAACUGAAUUGUCUGCUUUUAACUCCCCUAUACCAAUUAA